rnacentral:tRNA from 1 species
GGGCCCGUAGCUCAGUUGGCUAGAGCGCCAAGUUCACAACUCGGAAGUCGAAGGUUCAAGUCCUUCCGGGCCCA